CACCUCCACAGAGCACGCGGAGCAUUUCUACCACUGAGUUUCCCGGGAAAUGUCUGCAGAUGGGUUUCUGGAACUUUCCCCAGGCACCAGACGGACAAAGCCCACCUCUGAGAGACAUGAGCUCCUGGGACACGUGACCUCGGAGGUGUGCGUCUGAUUUUUUUUGUUGGUGGCGGUGGUGGUGCUGCUAUGUGUCACCCACAGAAUUCUCACAGAGAAAGGGAAAUCAAAGCUGUUCCUCUACUUGAGAAGAUGAGGCUGGGGGCUUUUCGACUGCAGCGGGAAGAAGGCAGGGCUCACCAGGGCAGGCUCCAGAGCGGGAAGAAGACGGCUUUGAAGUCCGAGUCAAGCUCGGUCCUAUGUGUCUAAGACGUUCCAGGCCUGGCUGCUCUACUUCCAAUCCAGCUCGCUGCUACACAGUGGAAGACAGUCCAAGCGUUUGGGCCCCUGCCCUCACGUGGGAGACCCGGAAAAAGCUCCUGACCCAGCCACAGCCAUUUGGAGAGUAAACCUGAGGAUGGACCAUCUCUCUCUCCUCCUCCCUCUCUCUGUAAC